CCUACGGGUGUCAGCAGUGAGGAAUAUUGGUCAAUGGCCGUAAGCCUGAACCAGCCAAGUCGCGUGAAGGAAGACUGAUCUAUGGGUUGUACACUUCUUUUAUAGGGGAAUAAAGGUAUCCCCGUGUGGCUUUUUGCAUGUACCCUAUGAAUAAGCAUCGUCUAACUCCGUUCCAGCAGCCGCGGUAAUACGGAGGAUACGAGCGUUAUCCGGAUUUAGUUGGUUUAAAGGGGUCGUCGAUUGUUGUUUAAGUCAGCUGUGAAAGUUUGUGGCUCAACCAUAAAAUUGCCUUUGAUACUGGCAGACUUGAGUGUAGUUGAGGUAGGCGGAAGGCGUGGUGUAGCGGUGAAAU
rnacentral:rRNA from 1 species